rnacentral:rRNA from 1 species
UAGUCUAGAGUGAGGGAGAGGCAGAUGGAAUUGGUGGUGUAGGGGUAAAAUCCGUAGAUAUCACCAAGAAUACCCAUUGCGAAGGCGAUCUGCUGGAACUCAACUGACGCUAAGGCGCGAAAGCGUGGGGAGCAAACAGGAUUAGAUACCCUGGUAGUCCACGCCCUAAACGAUGUACACUAGUUGUUGGGGUGCUAGUCAUCUCAGUAAUGCAGCUAACGCAUUAAGUGUACCGCCUGGGGAGUACGGUCGCAAGAUUAAAACUCAAAGGAAUAGACGGGGACCCGCACAAGCGGUGGAGCAUGUGGUUUAAUUCGAAGAUACGCGAAGAACCUUACCUGGGCUUGAUAUCCUAAGAACCUUAUAGAGAUAUGAGGGUGCUAGCUUGCUAGAACUUAGAGACAGGUGCUGCACGGCUGUCGUCAGCUCGUGUCGUGAGAUGUUGGGUUAAGUCCCGCAACGAGCGCAACCCACGUAUUUAGUUGCUAACGGUUCGGCCGAGCACUCUAAAUAGACUGCCUUCGUAAGGAGGAGGAAGGUGUGGACGACGUCAAGUCAUCAUGGCCCUUAUGCCCAGGGCGACACACGUGCUACAAUGGCAUAUACAAUGAGACGCAAUACCGCGAGGUGGAGCAAAUCUAUAAAAUAUGUCCCAGUUCGGAUUGUUCUCUGCAACUCGAGAGCAUGAAGCCGGAAUCGCUAGUAAUCGU